UUUUAUGGAGAGUUUGAUCCUGGCUCAGGAUGAACGCUGGCGGCGUGCCUAAUACAUGCAAGUCGAGCGAACGGACGAGAAGCUUGCUUCUCUGAUGUUAGCGGCGGACGGGUGAGUAACACGUGGAUAACCUACCUAUAAGACUGGGAUAACUUCGGGAAACCGGAGCUAAUACCGGAUAAUAUUUUGAACCGCAUGGUUCAAAAGUGAAAGACGGUCUUGCUGUCACUUAUAGAUGGAUCCGCGCUGCAUUAGCUAGUUGGUAAGGUAACGGCUUACCAAGGCAACGAUGCAUAGCCGACCUGAGAGGGUGAUCGGCC
rnacentral:rRNA from 1 species